UACGUAGGUGGCAAGCGUUGUCCGGAUUUACUGGGCGUAAAGGGCGCGCAGGCGGUCGGCCAAGUCGAGUGUGAAAGCCCCCGGCUCAACUGGGGAGGGUCAUUCGAUACUGGUCGACUCGAAGGCAGGAGAGGGAAGCGGAAUUCCCGGUGUAGUGGUGAAAUGCGUAGAUAUCGGGAGGAACACCAGUGGCGAAGGCGGCUUCCUGGCCUGUUCUUGACGCUGAGGCGCGAAAGCUAGGGGAGCAAACGGG
rnacentral:rRNA from 1 species